GAGGGUAUAGCUCAAGUGGUAGAGCAUAUGCUUAGCAUGCACAAGGUCCUGAGUUCAAUCCCCAGUACUUCCA
rnacentral:tRNA from 1 species